rnacentral:rRNA from 1 species
AACGCUAGCUACAGGCUUAACACAUGCAAGUCGAGGGGAAACGACAUCGAAAGCUUGCUUUUGAUGGGCGUCGACCGGCGCACGGGUGAGUAACGCGUAUCCAACCUGCCCACCACUUGGGGAUAACCUUGCGAAAGUAAGACUAAUACCCAAUGAUAUCCCACGAAGGCAUCCGAAUGGGAUUAAAGAUUUAUCGGUGAUGGAUGGGGAUGCGUCUGAUUAGCUUGUUGGCGGGGUAACGGCCCACCAAGGCUACGAUCAGUAGGGGUUCUGAGAGGAAGGUCCCCCACAUUGGAACUGAGACACGGUCCAAACUCCUACGGGAGGCAGCAGUGAGGAAUAUUGGUCAAUGGGCGAGAGCCUGAACCAGCCAAGUAGCGUGCAGGAUGACGGCCCUAUGGGUUGUAAACUGCUUUUAUAAGGGAAUAAAGUGGGUCUCGUGAGACUUUUUGCAUGUACCUUAUGAAUAAGGACCGGCUAAUUCCGUGCCAGCAGCCGCGGUAAUACGGAAGGUCCGGGCGUUAUCCGGAUUUAUUGGGUUUAAAGGGAGCGUAGGCCGGAGAUUAAGCGUGUUGUGAAAUGUAGUGGCUCAACCUCUGCACUGCAGCGCGAACUGGUCUUCUUGAGUACGCACAACGUGGGCGGAAUUCGUGGUGUAGCGGUGAAAUGCUUAGAUAUCACGAAGAACUCCGAUUG